AGUCUCAAGUUGUUCUUUAGGGAGAAUCUGAACUAAGAUAUUUGUACCAGAAAUAGCCCUAGAAAACAGACCCUGGAAAUGUCUUCCUGGUGGUUGGCUAGUGGAUACUGGGACCCAAAAAGAUAAUAAAUAGAGCAACCUGGCUUAAUGGAUACAGGCAAGACACUUCAGGUAGUCCACAAGGAGUGACUUCAGAGUGCAGUUACCACUAUUAGCCACCAGAUGGCAGAGAUACUCAGGGAAGCGCGGCAUGGAGGCUACAGGCUGCUGUAUGGUUUAACGGCACUGGUGACCCAGAGCACCCUGGCCAUGGAAAGAGCAAGGAGGUAGGUCAUCAACUAAAAGUUUGUAGCUUUUUGCCAGAUCGAAACUCUAGGAUAUUCCUCACAAAC
rnacentral:lncRNA from 1 species